ACGUACACCCCUACGGGAGGCAGCAGUGGGGAAUAUUGCACAAUGGGCGCAAGCCUGAUGCAGCGACGCCGCGUGGGGGAUGAAGGCCUUCGGGUUGUAAACUCCUUUCGCUAGGGACGAAGCUUUUUUGUGACGGUACCUAGAUAAGAAGCACCGGCUAACUACGUGCCAGCAGCCGCGGUAAUACGUAGGGUGCGAGCGUUGUCCGGAAUUACUGGGCGUAAAGGGCUCGUAGGUGGUUUGUCGCGUCGUCUGUGAAAUUCUGGGGCUUAACUCCGGGCGUGCAGGCGAUACGGGCAUAACUUGAGUGCUGUAGGGGUAACUGGAAUUCCUGGUGUAGCGGUGAAAUGCGCAGAUAUCAGGAGGAACACCGAUGGCGAAGGCAGGUUACUGGGCAGUUACUGACGCUGAGGAGCGAAAGCAUGGGUAGCGAACAGGAUUAGAUACCCGAGUAGUCCC
rnacentral:rRNA from 1 species